CUCCGGAGAGAAAGGCGACCGAGGAACGUCAGGAGUUGGACAGAAAGGACCGAGAGGGCCCGCAGGUCCACCAGGAGAAAGCAGGACAGGACCUACAGGCCCUGCAGGCUCUGCCGGACCUCGCGGGUCCCCCCGGACGUCCAGGAUACGCCGGAGUCCGCGGGCCCCCUGGACCUCCCGGAUACUGCGACUCUUCUCAGUGUGUCGGCAUUCCUUUACAACGGGCAAGGAUACGUAGGUUCACCAUAGUAAACUUUCUAUGCCGCCUGUGCUGCUUUCGCUGACUUCCUGAAAAAAGCAAAAAAAAAAAAAAAAACGAAACUCAAAGUCCUGUAACUGAAACAUUUGCUCACACGCUCUAGAGCUGUUUUAAAGGAUAACCGCCAAAGGAAACCAUUAACAAACAACACACCAACAAAGAGGGAACCAGUACUAACAUCGACUCACAGCCCGUAGAACAAAACACCACCAGCAGCAGCGGUGAUGGCACCGACCUGUUUAGUGGCCUGUUUGCAUCUUGAAGCCAAAGAACCAGACAAAGAAACCUUGUGUUCAGUGGAGGAGCAUGCACCAAACAACAACAACAACAAACAACCCCAAACAAAUACUAACCCAGGUGGAUGUGUAACAGAGAAACGAGUGCAACCACCGCAGCAUCUCCAGCAACAACAGCAGCAACAACCCUGUUAACAGCAUUUCUCUCGAGGUGACGUGUAAAUAAACUAAUUUGUGCCUUGUAAAUGAUGUUUGAACCGGAGUCCACUAAAUUUAGUUUUUAACAUCUGUAGUAUUAAAGCUUGUGCCUUGCAAACAACAACCUGCUGCUUGCUGAAUGCCAACAAAACGCCUCUUUUUUUUCUUUUUUAAAAUUUUCCUGCCCAUGUGUUUGUAGCUGUUUUAAACUGCUCAGGGCCAUACUGAAUCACUUCUGCACAUGUGACCCUGGAAGUUUAGAUUUGCCACUUCAUGUACAAAAAAAACCAAAGAAUCUAAGCUUUUACCUUUUUUUGUUUUAUUUUACUUUUCUCCCCAAAACCACUUCAACCGUUUCUGUAUGUGAUGAAAUACUAACAAUGCAAUCCCAAAGGAGUGUCUCCAGGCUGGUGGUAGACGAACUCGUACUUGAUUUAAAUGUAGAAAUGUUUUGUUGUUUUAUUUUGUAAAUGAGUGAGUUGUGGAGAAAUGACAGUGAAGAAGUCACCUGAACAAACACCUGAGCUUCUGACACCAAAGGGAAAAGAUCCCAGCACUGAGGUGGUCUCCGGGGGCGUGUCCACACUGACUCAGUCUGACAGCUGAUUGGUUGCUGAUUCAUCUCAGCCAAUCAAAGUCCAUCUUAAGUCCAGGGAGAGAAUGGAAAUUGUCAUCACAGGGUACAUUCAAUAGCUGUUCUGGAGCUUUCAGUCAUAUCACAUGAUCUUCAUCAGCAGAUGAAGUUUGCCUGCUGUAAAAUGUCCUCUUUUCAGAGCAUGUUUCCAUACUGCUCACUCAUGUUGGUCCUUUAAAGUGGAAAUUUGAACUGGGAAAACUACAUCCGCUGGUGAAGAUCAUGUGACACGACUGAGAGCUCCAGAACAGCCACUGAAUGAAUCCUGUGGUGUCGAGAGUGAAAUUCAAGGAGGCUCCAGUUUAUCAAACAGUGAAUCUAUUUGUUCAAAGUUUAUGAUCAGCUGGACUAAAUUAAACCAGAUUCUUUCAAAGACAGAAACUGUCUCACAGUCACAGUGUGUAGAAACAACCUGACACUGACAUUGAACUCAACUGUUUGUGAUGUUAAAUACUUCACACAUUAAGAGAACUGUUGGAACCUGUUAACCUUUACACCUCACUUCCUGCUACAAACUGUCCUUUAAUCCAACAGUAACAUACAUGACAGUGUUGUUAUAAAUCAUCAAUUUCCAUCGCUCCACCACAACAAGAGGCUAUAACUCCGACUCUGUGUUGAACUGGAGCUACUUUUAUGAUCUUUUUAGUUUUAUAAAAUGUUCGAUCAAACAGAAGCUGGAACGAGAAUAUUUGGCAUUUUUGAAAAGAUAACUCAAAACUUAUCAAAAUUGCAGCUGAUUAAUUUUCAUUGAAUCAUCUCAGCUCUAGUUUGAACUCACACAAAACUGCUGCAACAAGUUGAUCAAAUAAGAUCAGCUUUAUUGUCCAGAAGGAAAGUUGUCUUAUAUACAGAUAGAACAUACUUACAUAAACGCAUAAUGCAUGGAUGUAAAAUACAAACAGUUCAUAACUACACAUUUCAGACAAGACAGUAACAGAUAAAACACACUUGUACUUUGAGACCCCUUAAAAUAUUUGUUAACCCAACCUCCUCGUUCUCUCUGAUUCAGUGUCUCCUCAGCUGAUUUUGAAGAUAAUUCACGCUGUUAGCUCAGUUACUUUAUCGUAGGUUUUACAACUUUCACAAAGUACUGAGCUAAAAACAGGAAUAAAUUGUUCUGUAUCAAACAAGAAACUCAGAAACACUGUGGACGUGCCCCUGUAUCCGCAUCAGUGCUUUAAUUAGCAGUCUGACAGAAAACUAAACUUCAACCCGUUCUUUUUGUGCAUGAUGAGAAAAAAAACUUGUGCUCAAUUGGGCCCAAACGCUAUCUCCGAGCAGGCCAAUACCCUCCUGAACCCAACAGCCGAGUAGCCCCAGUCCCCGAGGAGGAUGAGGUGUCGCAAAACCAGCGUCGAAAGAGAUCACUAUCAAGAAAGGCAUCCAACAGGCUAACAUCUUAAGACACACCACCUUCUCCUUUUCUUUUUUUUUCUUGUUCAACCUGUGUUUGUUGUUGGGAUUAUGCACAUUAUACACAGAAAAAAAACGGGGUUUGACACCUCGACUUUAUUGGAAAAAUAAACCUUUAAUGCCUUAAAACGUAUGUGAAUAUUCAUUUUAGCGGCAGGUGAAGGGUUUGGACGGAGGGAGGGAGGGAGGGAGCGACCGAGAGGCAAAAUUUUCAAAAACGGAAGAAAAAAGUUACGAAUCCAUGAAAAAAAACCUGUGAGCUUUUCUUUUUCCACUUGUGUCUUUUUGCUUGUAACAUAUUUGCAUUGAGUUUGUAUGAACUAGCAGUGUUGAACAGUGCACUCAUUGUAACAAAGCUAGUGAUGGUAGUGGAGGAAUGAAAAUGUCUGUUCACAGUGUCGAGACAUCAGAUAAGAAAUGAUUUCUUUUUCUGUCACAGUUCAUCCAGUAUGUUAAAUAUAAUCCUUCUCAUUCAGUGUCGUCAGUUUCAUUAUGGCAGUUAAACACCGCUUUCAUUUUGUAUCUCUAGACUUAAUAUUUAUCAGUUUUCCUUUAUUCCGUCACAGCUAAUUUUACCAAAGGUGGAAUUGCAUGUCUGUGGUGUAUAUUUAGUAUGUUUUUUUUUUUUUUGUUACAUUUCAUUUUGUUUUAACCAGAAUAUAGUUGUUGUCAUUCUUGUCAUUUUCUCAGUAUCGAAUGCAGUCGAAACCUGUGAGCAAGACUAUGGACAUGGUGUUGCUGCUUCAUGUUUUAACUGCAGAUUGUGAAUUCCACAGCCUUAUUUUCUUAUUUAUUUCUGAAAACAGAAGAGGCAUUUUUCAAUAAAACUACUGAAAAUUUA